UACGUAGGGUGCAAGCGUUGUCCGGAAUUAUUGGGCGUAAAGAGCUCGUAGGCGGUUCGUCACGUCGGCUGUGAAAACCUGAGGCUCAACCUCAGGCCUGCAGUCGAUACGGGCGGACUUGAGUACUGCAGGGGAGACUGGAAUUCCUGGUGUAGCGGUGAAAUGCGCAGAUAUCAGGAGGAACACCGGUGGCGAAGGCGGCAUCCUGGACCGGUAUUGACGCUGAGGCGCGAAAGCCCAGGGGAGCAAACGGG
rnacentral:rRNA from 1 species